rnacentral:rRNA from 1 species
GUGGGGAAUAUUGCACAAUGGGGGAAACCCUGAUGCAGCAACGCCGCGUGAGUGAUGAAGGUUUUCGGAUCGUAAAGCUCUGUCUUCAGGGACGAUAAUGACGGUACCUGAGGAGGAAGCCACGGCUAACUACGUGCCAGCAGCCGCGGUAAUACGUAGGUGGCGAGCGUUGUCCGGAUUUACUGGGCGUAAAGGGAGCGUAGGCGGAUUUUUAAGUGAGAUGUGAAAUACCCGGGCUCAACUUGGGUGCUGCAUUUCAAACUGGAAGUCUAGAGUGCAGGAGAGGAGAGUGGAAUUCCUAGUGUAGCGGUGAAAUGCGUAGAGAUUAGGAAGAACACCAGUGGCGAAGGCGACUCUCUGGACUGUAACUGACGCUGAGGCUCGAAAGCGUGGGGAGCAAACAGG